GUCCCUGUGGAUCAGGGCAGACCACCUCAUCUUAUUGACAACUCUAGGUGAUGUCACGAGGAGUCGGCGGUUCGACUCCGCCUGGGGACC